UACGUAGGUGGCAAGCGUUGUCCGGAAUUAUUGGGCGUAAAGCGCGCGCAGGCGGUCCUUUAAGUCUGAUGUGAAAGCCCCACGGCUCAACCGUGGAGGGUCAUUGGAAACUGGGGGACUUGAGUACAGAAGAGAAGAGUGGAAUUCCACGUGUAGCGGUGAAAUGCGUAGAGAUGUGGAGGAACACCAGUGGCGAAGGCGACUCUUUGGUCUGUAACUGACGCUGAGGCGCGAAAGCGUGGGGAGCAAACAGG
rnacentral:rRNA from 1 species